rnacentral:rRNA from 1 species
GGCGCACGGGGUGAGUAACGCGUGGAUAAUCUGCCCUUCAGUUGGGAAUAACUCACCGAAAGGUGGGAUAAUACCGAAUAAUGCUGCAUGGCCUCGGCUGUGCAGCCAAAGAUGGCCUCUGCUUGCAAGCUAUCGCUGAAGGAUGAGUCCGCGUACCAUUAGCUAGUUGGUAGGGUAAUGGCCUACCAAGGCGACGAUGGUUAGCUGGUCUGAGAGGAUGAUCAGCCACACUGGAACUGAGAUACGGUCCAGACUCCUACGGGAGGCAGCAGUGAGGAAUCUUGCGCAAUGGGGGAAACCCUGACGCANCAACGCCGCGUGAGUGAAGAAGGCCUUCGGGUCGUAAAGCUCUGUCGGGUGGGAAGAAAUGUAUGCAGGUGAAUAUCCUGUGUACUUGACG